rnacentral:rRNA from 1 species
UACGGAGGGUGCAAGCGUUGUCCGGAUUUAUUGGGUUUAAAGGGUGCGUAGGCGGCUAUUUAAGUCAGUGGUGAAAUCCUGCAGCUCAACUGUAGAAUUGCCAUUGAUACUGGAUAGCUUGAGUACAGACGAGGUAGGCGGAAUUUAUGGUGUAGCGGUGAAAUGCAUAGAUACCAUAAAGAACCCCUAUUGCGAGGCAGCUUACUAGGCUGUAACUGACGCUGAGGCACGAAAGCGUGGGGAUCAAACAGG